rnacentral:rRNA from 1 species
UACAGAGGGUGCGAGCGUUAAUCGGAUUUACUGGGCGUAAAGCGUGCGCAGGCGGUCUUGUAAGACAGAGGUGAAAUCCCCGGGCUCAACCUGGGAACUGCCUUUGUGACUGCAAGGCUGGAGUACGGCAGAGGGGGAUGGACUUCCGCGUGUAGCCGUGAAAUGCGUAGAUAUGCGGAGGAACACCGAUGGCGAAGGCAAUCCCCUGGGCCUGUACUGACGCUCAUGCACGAAAGCGUGGGGAGCAAACAGGAUUAGAUACCCUGGUAGUCCACGCCCUAAACGAUGUCAACUGGUUGUUGGGUCUUCACUGACUCAGUAACGAAGCUAACGCGUGAAGUUGACCGCCUGGGGAGUACGGCCGCAAGGUUGAA